GUGUUCCUCCAUGUAUUCAGAUUAGAUCUUCUGAUAUUCUGAUAUUUUUAAAGGCCCAAUUGAAUAAACUUCUGUUCAACACAGUGUAUCUCAAAUUCAGUUGAGGUAGCAGAGCUCGCUGGGUCCAGACUCACAUUCUAUUUUUUGUCAAAGAAUGUAUGCUUCAUAACAAAAUUGAGCCUUCUUUUCCUUGCUUGAAAAUCUGAAGAUCAUGAACAAGUGAAGGGAGAAAGAAAGCCAGGUGAAUCAUAUCAUUUCAGAUGACACAUGACACAUGAUAUAAUGUAUUCAUUUUUGGAUAGUCAUGUCUCAGGGUUUCCAGAACUAAUGAAAACAUUUCCCAGAGUGGUAUACCAUCUGAUGAAUGAAAUAUCACAAUAACACUUGUGAUAUAUACUUAUUACAUGGUUCUCCAUUUGGAAUUUGAAAAUCAGCUGUGUCCUGUUUACAUGUGGAAAAAUGCAAAGGCGGUAUUUGAAGAGAGGCCCCACAAAACGCCACAGUUCAUCAAUAAUACAAAUGGUGUAUAUGAUAAAUGUCUGCGCACCUCCUCUAAAAGUAAACCAUGUGUUCUGCCAAGCACUGGAUAAAUUCACCAAGAAAAGAUAGACUGACACCAUCUCUCACACCUCUCAGUAGGAAAAGGCCAAAUUCUUGUUGCUAUCUGAUGCUAGAAGUUGUACCUUUUCUAGGCUUGCAAAAAAUGGGGGACAAUAGAUAAUGGCUUAUAUUUUAUUGACUAGAAUAUACCCAUUAAAUCAAUUGUAUAUACUUA